GUGUCGCUGCUUGCUGCCCCGGAAGCCGAGCGGGAAACGCGAGGGAGAACCACAGAUUCGUGCGGAGUUGUGUUUUCAUACACACACUCAUGCACGUGGCAGUAAAUCAUUAAAGAGCAGUCUGAGUUUAUGGUAAAGUGCACGUAUGAAAGGUGGAGCAACACUUCCAAUGAUUUAUUCAUUUCGCCUGCGGCCGCUGAGCUUCAGCUGCCCUGAACGUUCUGCAUCAAGGCGAGGUUGGAGGAGGGAGUCCACGGCCGAGAGGAGCAGAGAUGCGAGAGGCGACCUGCCUGUGACCUCUCAGGUCUCUUUCAGCUCAUCUACUCUUCUCAGAGAGGAACCUUCCUAAAUUCUAUUCAGCUGGAGGGUGAAGACGCGAGCGGGUGAACUAAAUGCUGCAGCGUCACGUCACCUUCUGUCAGGAAAUGGCCGGUUUACGUGGCUUGAAGGACACGUGGUGGUAAGAAUAACUCACGUAGGGUAGCUGGCUGGCAGGAAUGUCCACAUGUUUCCAGGGUUCGAGCUCCGCUCCCCCCGGCUGUGUUUUGUGUGGAACCGGAUGUUCAGCUGAGGGGCAGCAGCUGACUCGAGUAGAGACUUAGCGCUGAUUGAUUGCACGUGUGUGUGUGUGUGUGUGUGUGUGACAGAGAACCACAGGGGAUCUAUUUGUUUUGGACAUGAGCGCUUCUCUCGAUGAACAU
ensembl:lncRNA